UACGGAGGGUGCAAGCGUUAAUCGGAAUUACUGGGCGUAAAGCGCACGCAGGUGGCUGAGUCAGUCGAUUGUGAAAGCCCUGGGCUUAACCUGGGAAUUGCAGUCGAGACCUGAAUAGCUAGGGUACGGUAGAGGGAAGCGGAAUUUCCGGUGUAGCGGUGAAAUGCGUAGAUAUCGGAAGGAACAUCAGUGGCGAAAGCGGCUUCCUGGACCAGAACUGACGAUCAGGCACGAAAGCGUGGGGAGCAAACAGG
rnacentral:rRNA from 1 species